AACCACUAUCCAAUAAUAUCCUCAUAGUAAAACGUUCUCCUUUGUUAUUAAAAACGUAAACAACUGCAGUAGGUAGCAAGAUAAAAAAGUCCCAUUUUACGAAAG